rnacentral:rRNA from 1 species
CUCCGGUUGAUCCUGCCAGACCUGACUGCUAUCGGAUUGGUACUAAGCCAUGCGAGUCGUUGUAGCAAUACAAGGCGGACGGCUCAGUAACACGUAGUCAACCUAACCUAUGGACGUGGAUAACCUCGGGAAACUGAGAAUAAACCGCGAUAGAUCAUUAUGCCUGGAAUGGCUUAUGGUUCAAACAAUUUAUUGCCGUAGGAUGGGACUGCGGCCUAUCAGCUUGUUGGUGAGGUAAUGGCCCACCAAGGCUAUAACAGGUACGGGCUCUGAGAGGAGAAGCCCGGAGAUGGGUACUGAGACACGGACCCAGGCCCUAUGGGGCGCAGCAGGCGAGAAACCUUAGCAAUGUGCGAAAGCACGACUAGGUUAAUCCGAGUGAUUUCUGUUGAAGAAAUCUUUUGUCAGUCGUAAAACCACAGACGAAUAAGGGGUGGGCAAGUCUGGUGUCAGCCGCCGCGGUAAUACCAGCACCUCGAGUGGUCAGGAGGUUUAUUGGGCCUAAAGCAUCCGUAGCCGGCUACGCAAGUCUCCGGUUAAAUCCAGCUGCUCAACAGAUGGGCUGCCGGAGAUACUACAUAGCUAGGGAGCGGGAGAGGUAGACGGUAUUCUGUGGGUAGGGGUAAAAUCCACUGAUCCAUAGAGGACCACCAGUGGCGAAGGCGGUCUACCAGAACGCGUUCGACGGUGAGGGAUGAAAGCUGGGGGAGCAAACCGGAUUAGAUACCCGGGUAGUCCCAGCUGUAAACGAUGCAAACUCGGUGAUGCAUUGGCUUAUGGCCAAUGCAGUGCCGCAGGGAAGCCGUUAAGUUUGCCGCCUGGGAAGUACGGACGCAAGUCUGAAACUUAAAGGAAUUGGCGGGGGAGCA